rnacentral:rRNA from 1 species
AACGAACGCUGGCGGCAGGCCUAACACAUGCAAGUCGAACGCACCGCAAGGUGAGUGGCGCACGGGUGAGUAACACGUGGGAAUGUAUCCUUUGGUUCGGAAUAACGUUUGGAAACGAACGCUAAUACCGGAUGAGCCCUACGGGGGAAAGAUUUAUCGCCAAAGGAGCAGCCGGCGUCUGAUUAGGUAGUUGGUGGGGUAAUGGCCUACCAAGCCGACGAUCAGUAGCUGGUCUGAGAGGAUGAUCAGCCACACUGGGACUGAGACACGGCCCAGACUCCUACGGGAGGCAGCAGUGGGGAAUAUUGGACAAUGGGCGCAAGCCUGAUCCAGCCAUGCCGCGUGAGUGAUGAAGGCCUUCGGGUUGUAAAGCUCUUUCGCACACGACGAUGAUGACGGUAGUGUGAGAAGAAGCCCCGGCUAACUUCGUGCCAGCCGCCGCGGUAAAAC